GGAAUCCGCCGCCCAAGAACGAAGCCAGAUGGUGCGGCGAAUGGCCACAGAGUUAGCGGCCGCACGGCCGGAGCAGCGGGCCGAUUCCAUAGAGGCAUCGCAAAGAAACCUGGAUGCCUGGUAGAUUUGAGAGGCAAGCACUGCCAGUUCCCCCUGGACCGAGUCUGGAGGUAAGGCUCGAAUAAGCUGUUUUGCCCAGAUAGCGCAGGCCUUGGCCACCCAGGAGGCGGCAAACGCAGGACGGAUGGCGGCACCCUCUGCCACAAACACAGACUUGGCCAAGGAGUCGACCCGUUUGUCAGCGGGAUCCGACAAGGAAGCAGCGUCAGCCAGGGGAAGGGUAGUAGCUUUCGCCAGGCGAGCAACCUGAGGAUCCACGAGGGGGGGC